AUCUACCACUCGUACACUGCGGUUCUGAGCGCGCCGUCCGCGCCCACCUGGCAGCUGCUCGCCACGUUUUGUUGGCC
rnacentral:sRNA from 2 species